GUCCGGGUGGCGGAAUGGCAGACGCGCUAGCUUGAGGUGCUAGUCUCCGUUAGGAGGUAGGGGUUCAAGUCCCCUUUCGGACACCA
rnacentral:tRNA from 2 species